rnacentral:tRNA from 1 species
GCCCAGAUAGCUCAGUUGGUAGAGCGCAUCCAUGGUAAGGAUGAGGUCACGGGUUCAACUCCCGUUCUGGGCU